rnacentral:rRNA from 1 species
CCUACGGGAGGCAUCAGUGGGGAAUUUUCCGCAAUGGGCGAAAGCCUGACGGAGCAACGCCGCGUGAGGGAUGAAGGCCUCUGGGCUGUAAACCUCUUUUAUCAAGGAAGAAGAUCUGACGGUACUUGAUGAAUAAGCCACGGCUAAUUCCGUGCCAGCAGCCGCGGUAAUACGGGAGUGGCAAGCGUUAUCCGGAAUUAUUGGGCGUAAAGCGUCCGCAGGCGGUCUUGUAAGUCUGUCGUUAAAGCGUGGAGCUCAACUCCAUUUCGGCGGUGGAAACUACAAGACUAGAGUGUGGUAGGGGCAGAGGGAAUUCCCGGUGUAGCGGUGAAAUGCGUAGAUAUCGGGAAGAACACCAGUGGCGAAGGCGCUCUGCUGGGCCAUAACUGACGCUCAUGGACGAAAGCUAGGGGAGCGAAAGGGAUUAGAUACCCCUGUAGUCCUAGCCGUAAACGAUGAACACUAGGUGUCGGGGGAAUCGACCCCCUCGGUGUCGUAGCUAACGCGUUAAGUGUUCCGCCUGGGGAGGUACGCGACGCAGUGUGAACGUACGAAAUAGAAGUUAGACGGUCGUGUAGACGUUGUCCGAACGGACGACGACGAGGGAGGAGG